CGGUGUAGUUAAUAGCUGCAUUAUUUGACGUUAGCGACAGAAGAAGCACCGGCUAACUCCGUGCCAGCAGCCGCGGUAAUACGGAGGGUGCGAGCGUUAAUCGGAAUUACUGGGCGUAAAGCGCAUGCAGGUGGUUUGUUAAGUCAGAUGUGAAAGCCCGGGGCUCAACCUCGGAAUUGCAUUUGAAACUGGCAGACUAGAGUACUGUAGAGGGGGGUAGAAUUUCAGGUGUAGCGGUGAAAUGCGUAGAGAUCUGAAGGAAUACCGGUGGCGAAGGCGGCCCCCUGGACAGAUACUGACACUCAGAUGCGAAAGCGUGGGGAGCAAACAGGA
rnacentral:rRNA from 1 species